UCAGGAAUCACAACUCCACAAUCCAUCUCUGAGACCCUGAGAGAUGCCAGUUUCCUCCAGUGUUAAAGGCACAAAAGAACAUUCACCUUCCAAGAUGUUCGGACAGAAUAGAGCCAAUGCAGAGAAAGCCUUGACAUGCCGCCUGUCCACAGUAAAUAAUCAACAAGGACUGUACUAGACACAAGUGCUAUAGAAAUGAAUCAGCCACAACACCUGCCCUCAAGGAAUUCACGGCCACGCGAACAAGGAAGACAGACACCCAGGUAACGAACAACAAACAGGGAGGAGUAUGCCCUGUGCCACAGUGAACAAAAGAAGCUUGAAGAAAAUGACGGAUGUGUCAUGCGCCCUUGGACCUUUGCAUGAUGAUGACGAUGAUGAUGAUGAUGAA